GACAGAGGUGCCGAGCGUUAGGCGGAAUCACUGGGCUUAAAGCGUGUGUAGGCGGGUGCCUAAGUACCUUGUGAAAUCCCACGGCUCAACCGUGGAACUGCUUGGUAUACUGGGUGCCUUGAGCCACUUAGGGGCAACCGGAACAAACGGUGGAGCGGUGAAAUGCAUUGAGAUCGGAAAGAACACCAACGGCGAAAGCACUCUGCUGGGCCGACACUGACACUGAGAGACGAAAGCUAGGGGAGCAAAUGGG
rnacentral:rRNA from 1 species